ensembl:lncRNA
UGGAAUUUUAGCCUCCCUCACCGCCAGCAGCCCUCGCGGCCCGAGUCGCACCUGCUCUGUCGUCUGGUUCACAAGCAACAGGCUCUGAGGCCGGGGUCCCAGGGCGCUGAUGGCUCCUCCUCCCUACGGUGCUCCAGGCCGGCCUGCCAGUGGCCCGGUGCCUCUCGCUAAUGCGCGUUCUGCAGCCUGACAAAGCUCUGGACUUGGCAUAAAAUCCAACUAUUGGGCCAGGUCCAAGAUGUUGUAUAAAGGCGACUUCCCCUGUCUCAGUGAACACAAAUCUGAAAAAAAAUUGAAAAGGUGUGUUAGUUGCUCAGCCAUGUCCAACUCUUUGUGUUCCCAUGGACUGUAGCCUGCUAGGCUCCUUUGUCCGAGGAAUUCUUCAGGAAAGAAUACUGGAGUGGGUCGCCAUUCCCUUCUACUCAGGGAUCAAACCUGGAUCUCUUGCAUUGCAGGAAAAUUCAAAUUUUGACUUUGCUGUUUAAUCCUACUCGG